AGCUUUGUGCAGUGACGUUAUUGUAGCCAGUGAGGUUUAUCCAAUGCACAAUUAUUGCUAAUUGAAAAAUAAUAAGCCUUUAAAAAAAAAGAAUAUGGGAGAGAUCAUAAAGAUC
rnacentral:snRNA from 1 species